UACAGAGGGGGCAAGCGUUGUUCGGAAUUACUGGGCGUAAAGGGCGCGUAGGUGGCCUUCUAAGUCGAACGUGAAAUCCCCGGGCUCAACCCGGGAACUGCGUCCGAUACUGGAAGGCUUGAAUCCGGGAGAGGGAUGCGGAAUUCCAGGUGUAGCGGUGAAAUGCGUAGAUAUCUGGAGGAACACCGGUGGCGAAGGCGGCAUCCUGGACCGGUACUGACGCUGAGGCGCGAAAGCCAGGGGAGCAAACGGG
rnacentral:rRNA from 1 species